rnacentral:lncRNA from 1 species
GAGUCAGCCUAGCCUUCUCACCCUUUUAUAACAAGCCAGGACUACCUGACUGUUGCUAGGUAACUGUUGGGCGGAGCGUAGAAGGAAUACCAACAACAGGUAAGCCAUUACAACAGUCUUGAGAAGACAGGAAAGGCAGCCUAGGACAACCGAACCUCAUGCUUGUCAGCACUUAGCUCCAGCGGCAACCGGAGCUAUGAGAGUACUGAGGACCAGACAAGAGGAUAGAAUCGAUACUUGGCCUAUAGAUGGAGGAAGAGCAAAGCCCAUGGUUCUCAACUGAGUCUGACUUGAAUCUCUAACAACUUGGGGAGCAGCUGAGAAGGUCCCAGGGCUCUGGGCUACUUUCAGGUAUCCUAUCAGUGGAUGCUCAGAGUGAUUCAGCUCCUAAUUGAUCGGGCCACUGCUACAGUUCCAAGCUCAUUUCAUAGGCAUUACAGUUCUGCCAUGGAUCUGCAGUGUAUGGCUUUUUGUUCUACAUUUGAGAAUCACUACAAGCCUACCCUCAUUGAUUACCUGGCUUUGGUAGAAGAAACAGUCUCACCUGGCUGCGAUUGGAUCAAGAUGCAGAACUCUCAGCUCCUUCACCAGUACCAUAUCUGCCUACAUGCUGCUAUGUUCCCUGCUAUUGAUGAUAUUGGACCAGACCUGAAACUGCAAGCCAACCUCAAUUAAAUCUUGUUCUUUAUAAGAAACAAACAUUUUAGAAAAAGAACUCCAACUUCCAUCACACCAAAAAUUGCAGAGAGCUGAUCCAGACGGCUGAAGUCUGACUCACACGGGAUCAUUCACUAUGAAGCACAAUUGAAUACUCACUA